rnacentral:rRNA from 1 species
UAAGGGGGGUAACGGGUACGAGAGGUCGUAAACCCCCCCACAUUGGUACUGAGACACGGACCAAACUCCUACGGAAGGCAGCAG